GGGAUUGUGGCUCAGUGGCAGAGCACUCGCCUCGAAUGUGUGAGGCGCUGGGUUCGAUCUUCAGCAGCACA
rnacentral:tRNA from 1 species